CAUAGAUAAUUUGGUAUUUUUCUGGUCAAAAUUGAUGAGUCUUUCAUUCUUGGUUAUUAAAUAUUGGUAAGAUUAACGUAGAAAGAUGUCGGAAAAUUCAUCCGACCCUAACCAAUUUAAGGGUUUUAAAAAAUAUUUUAACAGUUAUACGACUUUCGGACGAGCAAACAUUGCCAAAAGUACAUACGGUGCAAUUGGUCUUUUAAUUCUGUAUAAAUAUUGUACCAAAAGUAGUAAGAAAUAGUUCUACAAAUGCAAUUUUGUCAUCUAUCAGAAAAUGAUAUCCAAUAUUACAUAAUUAUUGUUGCAACUUUAUAGAUAAGUAGACAUGUGGAAAUUAGUUAAAUAAAGUAUUUAACUGAAAUUAUAUUUUUUAAA